rnacentral:rRNA from 1 species
UCAGUAGCGGCGAGUGAAGCGGCAAGAGCUCAGAUUUGAAAUCGUGCUUUGCGGCACGAGUUGUAGAUUGCAGGUUGGAGUCUGUGUGGAAGGCGGUGUCCAAGUCCCUUGGAACAGGGCGCCCAGGAGGGUGAGAGCCCCGUGGGAUGCCGGCGGAAGCAGUGAGGCCCUUCUGACGAGUCGAGUUGUUUGGGAAUGCAGCUCCAAGCGGGUGGUAAAUUCCAUCUAAGGCUAAAUACUGGCGAGAGACCGAUAGCGAACAAGUACUGUGAAGGAAAGAUGAAAAGCACUUUGAAAAGAGAGUGAAACAGCACGUGAAAUUGUUGAAAGGGAAGGGUAUUGCGCCCGACAUGGGGAUUGCGCCCCGCUGCCUCUCGUGGGGGGCGCUCUGGGCUUUC